CCACCUGAAAAGUUGUCUCAACCUUCGUUUUGAAGAGGUGAGCAAAGUUUCAGGUGUGU
rnacentral:pre_miRNA from 1 species